ACCGAGCUUAGUAACGUGGGCUUGUAACCCAAGUGGGGGUAUUGAGGUGAUGGAACAUGUUCACGACUUUCUGAUUCGGGCUCUGGUUUGGGCAUUAUGUUGGCCUGCCCUAUCCAAGUUGGGAGUUGGUCCAUGUUUGAUAGGCUAAAGCCUGUCACAUGUGGACUCUAAAGGUGAGGGAAUUGCGUGAGGCUGGUUUCACAGAGCAACGAAAACUUCCCGCUCUUGUCAGUGGAAGGAUAACAGGCUUGCGCCUUCCUGGCCCAUUAGCAUUCAGUUGGAUGUGAUCUUAAUUGGACCAUCAUUUUU
rfam:Beta vulgaris subsp. vulgaris Bvchr7.sca017.con0052.1, whole genome shotgun sequence.